GGGAUGGAAUCACAGGACAUAAAUACUUUAAAGUGUUUUUACGCAUUUGUGCUGUUUUUCUUACGUUUCAUUCAGAUCCCUCUAAGGAUUUCUGAUUGUACAUUUUUUCUCGCCUUGUAGCCAACCCCGGCCGCGUUAAAGAAUGAAAGAUGUGACUUGAACCUUUAUUUUGACACCCUGGCAGCUGUUUGAUAAAUGUACCUUUUUGCUCCCUCAGAUGUAAAUACAUCUGAGGGAGCAAAUUUACAUCUGAGAACACGACUGACGUACAAAAUCAGUCACACUCUCUGCUUGGCACAACGGGCACCAUCGAUCAACGUGGACCAAAGCACCAAAGCUUAUUGAUACGAGCUGUCUGCUGGAUUUGACAGGUCCCAUCGCGCGCUGCUGCUGCUAGACGACACAAUUGCUGCUUCUGCUGAGGAAUCUCCCUCCGUGUUUGUCGCUGAUGCCAAAUAAAAUCAGAGCAGCAGAAGACAACAAGCACAUCAUUCAGGUAGCUGACAAAAUAUGCAGUGGUGUGUCCUCAGGACAAAGGAUUAACAGUAGCCAGUGAUUUUUAUUUAUUAAACGAGUGCCACCGUGUGUUUAAAAGUCAGUACUGCAACAGCUAAAAAUAAAUAACCCACGGGAGUUGUGGCCAGGUUUCAGAGAUGAAAGAAAUUAGUUUAGAAAGCCCAUGAGUAACAAAAAGCUAAUUUAUUUGACAGCUGAACAUUAGUGAUUUAUAAAAGAAACACGUAGUCAAAACAUUAAAUAUUAGCUUAGUGUUUGUUUUUAAUUGAGGCUUGGAAGUUUUGCUCCAAAUAGAAAAAAUAAAUGUUUACUGAAAAUGAGAAUAGGCCUAUGAUUAAAUUUAUUAUAAAGGGUGAAUCAGAGACAGACACAAUGGUUGUAAUUCUUUUAAAAAGCUUCUCACUCCUUUAGUGUUUCCUGUGACUUUAUUGUAAGUUCAUGAUGUCAACAUAUGGUGCCUUCACUGCUCAAAAACAUCUAACUUUUCCGAUUGUGGUGGUGCAGUUCUAAUUUUAUGGUUAAAAAUGGCUAAAUUAUUCAUAAGCAACGUAAAAUUAUGUAAAAAAAAAUAUUAAAGAGAGUAAAGACAAAAUGAACAAAAAGAAAUUCAUAAGUUUGUUUUUUUUUAUUCACAGAUCAAAUUUGAAUCAUUACAGCACAACAGAACGUUGUCCAUGCAACAAAUCCCUCAUCUCUGCCAUUUAUUACAGUAUCGCUCUCAAAAAUGGCACAAACACCAAAGAUUCAGUUCAGUGGUCAUAUAUAUGUAUAUAUUUAUAUAUAUAAUUAACAUUAUGCACAAAAUAUAAAAUCAGCAUCUGUCUUUGACAUCAAUACACAGUGGCUGCAAUAUAACAUCUUUUGCAUCUAUGUUCAAGUACACAGAGCAGGUACUAUGCAGUGCAAAGUUUCCAUAAAUUUCUCGUUAUGGAAUUGCAUAAUAAAUACCAACAGACCCUUAAGACUGAUGACUCAAAACCAGAGUGCCAACAGAGGGGGGGG